UCACUUUGUAGGCGUUACUGUGGUGUC
rnacentral:piRNA from 1 species